rnacentral:rRNA from 1 species
GGUGAACGUUGGCGGCGUGGAUUAGGCAUGCAAGUCGAGCGAGAACCGUAGCAAUACGGGGACAGCGGCGAAAGGGACAGUAAUGUGUAGGUACCUACCCCGAGGUCUGGGAUAGCUGCGGGAAACUGCAGGUAAUACCGGAUAAUGUCUUCGGACCAAAGGUGUGAUUCCACCUUGGGAGGGGCCUGCAUCCUAUUAGCUUGUUGGCGGGGUAACGGCCCACCAAGGCAACGAUGGGUAGCGGGUGUGAGAGCACGACCCGCGUCAUUGGGACUGAGAUACUGCCCAGACACCUACGGGUGGCUGCGGUCGAGGAUCUUCGGCAAUGGGCGAAAGCCUGACCGAGCGACGCCGCGUGCGGGAUGAAGGCCUUCGGGUUGUAAACCGCUGUCGUAGAGGAGGAAAUGCAGGGGGGUUCUCCCCUCUGUUUGACCUAUUCUAGGAGGAAGGACGGGCUAAGUUCGUGCCAGCCGCCGCCGUAA